rnacentral:rRNA from 1 species
AGUGAACGCUGGCGGUAGGCCUAACACAUGCAAGUCGAACGGCAGCGCAGGAGAGCUUGCUCUCUGGGUGGCGAGUGGCGGACGGGUGAGGAAUACAUCGGAAUCUACUCUGUCGUGGGGGAUAACGUAGGGAAACUUACGCUAAUACCGCAUACGACCUACGGGUGAAAGCAGGGGACCUUCGGGCCUUGCGCGAUUGAAUGAGCCGAUGUCGGAUUAGCUAGUUGGCGGGGUAAAGGCCCACCAAGGCGACGAUCCGUGGCUGGUCUGAGAGGAUGAUCAGCCACACUGGAACUGAGACACGGUCCAGACUCCUACGGGAGGCAGCAGUGGGGAAUAUUGGACAAUGGGCGCAAGCCUGAUCCAGCCAUACCGCGUGGGUGAAGAAGGCCUUCGGGUUGUAAAGCCCUUUUGUUGGGAAAGAAAUCCAGCUGGCUAAUACCCGGUUGGGAUGACGGCACCCAAAGAAUAAGCACCGGCUAACUUCGUGCCAGCAGCCGCCGCAG